GACGAAGGAUGCAAGCGUUAUCCGGAUUCAUUGGGUUUAAAGGGAGCGUAGGCGGCCCUAUAAGUCAGUGGUGAAAUCUCUCGGCUUAACCGAGAAAUUGCCAUUGAUACUGUAGGGCUUGAGUACAGUUGCCGUUGGCGGAAUAUGACAUGUAGUGGUGAAAUACAUAGAGAUGUCAUAGAACACCGAUUGCGAAGGCAGCUAACGAAACUGUAACUGACGCUGAGGCUCGAAAGUGCGGGGAUCAAACAGG
rnacentral:rRNA from 1 species